rnacentral:tRNA from 1 species
GGGAGUGUGGCUCAGUGGUAGAGUGUUUGCCUAGCAUGCAUAAAGAUCUGGAUUCAAUUCCUCAGUACCA